GCCUGGGUCGCUCAGUUGGUUGAGCAUCCGACUCUGGCUCAGGUCAUGGUCUCACAGUUUGUGGGUUUGAGACCCACAUCAGGCU
rfam:Felis catus isolate Cinnamon breed Abyssinian chromosome C1, whole genome shotgun sequence.